CUGAGAACUCCACUGCUAGUGUGUAACAAGGUUAGAUUUAGAGUUUACACCUGACCAUACCUGGGCCGUGUGCCUCAGGAUUCUGCCAUUGAACAGCAGGAAGGGAGGGAUGAGGUUUUCAGGAGAGGAGUCACCUGCCAUCCCAUAAUAUGGCACUCAAGGGAUGAGCUGACACUGUUGAUGCCUGCAGGGAGUUUUGCAGUGGAGCAGGGACUAAGGAGUUUUUGUGUUCUUUCUUCCUGAGAUGGGACUGUCAGAGGUAGCAUGAACCCAACGCCUUUAAGGAAUGCUGAGGGCCAUCGGCGGGAGGAGCGGUAGGGCUUGGCUUUAUUUCCACCUUUCUGCUGCUGCAGGAGGCACGUUUUUGAGACUCACUUCUCCAGAAGAGCAUGGGAGCAGAACCCACACCCUCAGCUAUCAAUAUGUACAUGAAUAUAAAAAUAUGACCAGGGUCCACACCUUCCCUUUGCAGGAUAUUGCCAAACAUUCCAGGUUUUAUCACACUUUCAUGGAGUUCCAGAAACCUCUGGGCUGGUCCAUGGACUUCCGUGCAAAAUCUUUUAUUAGCAAGAACCUACUACCCCCACACCUGACAUAUCUGAUCACCUUCCUUAUCCUACCCAGUGACGUCUCAACUCCCUGCCCUGUGUCCAGCAAGACUGCUGGGUCAGAGUGGAGAGAAUUCAGCUCAUCCUUAUGUUUCCAUGGGAACCUUUCCUUCCCAUGGACCUGAUCCUGAUUCUUGCCGAUAGACAACAGCUUGCCCACACUGUGUUUGGAAUUAGACUGUAUCUUCACCCCUUAAUCUUCAUAGGAAAACCCAAGGCUGGUGACAUGGCUCAGCUGGGUAAGGGUGAUGGUGGCCAAGCAUGAUGACUUGAAUUUGGUCCCUGAUACUGGGCAUUCUUUCCGUCACGGGAAGGAGAGGGCUGACUCCUGCAAGUUGUCUUUUGAUCUCCACAAGUGCACAUCCCCCUUCCUGCAAAAUAAAUAACCUAAUGUAAUUUAAGAAGAUGAAGACGAAAAAACACUGUCAAGGUCCUUAUAUCUAUCGAGACAGUCCUCAAUAAAAUUUUUCUUACAC
rnacentral:lncRNA from 1 species